AAGUAUCAGCCACAAGAAGUAUCAUGAGCAGAAGAUAUGGCUCUACAAACAGCUUAUUUCCUACAGUAGCAUGCCAUUGUAGACAUCAAUCUGCUUUAUCUCACCUAGAGACAUUUGAGAUCCCUGGAGAGCCUCUGCCAUCAGAUCCACAGGUCUUGCUAGCUUGUCAGCCGUGAGAGCUGACACCAUCCACACAGGCCAGUGUCAGCAGAGGUUAUUGAAGAAAUGCCUUUCCUUGGCAGAGCAGAUGAAAGGGCUCAAACUACUCUGUAUGUGCUAUGUGACAGCAAUGAGUUCAGAUCUUUCAUCAAGAGCCAAAAUCUAGCAAGCAGGAAAAUCAUGAGAUUUUCUCAUUGAUGUGCUCCACAGCCAGAAGGACAUAAGUAAUAAAAGUAAAGCUUUUUGAGUAAAUAUCAGUCUUCUUCCCACCUACUAAGCAACAAGGCAGCACUGGAAGCUUCAGAAAGACUAUCUGAUUUGCUUGCACAUCAUUUUGUUGACUCUGUUGAAUUGUGCUACUUGUCAUCACAACUGUUGUCAUUUGGGAACAUCUAGGCUGAACUGACGAAGAAACCUGGAUUUCAGGUGAUAUUCUUUCCCUUCUGGAAUUAAUAAAGAACUUCAAAGAGAUCAGAGAAAGACAAGAUCAAACACCUGUGUCAAGGAAGCACUUAAGACAACAGCUACUUCCACAGGGGGAUUGUGAGUCAUUCCUAUGGAGACCCUAGAAGUCCUCAAAGAGACUUAUUAAGAAGAUAAAUGGGACAUGGGAAGCUGUUCCCUGGCUGGUAAGUGGCCAGAAAAGAAGGACAUGAAUGAGAAG